rfam:Candidatus Burkholderia humilis strain TZHbot5 BHTMctg110, whole genome shotgun sequence.
AAAGUUCUUUACGAUGAAGAACUAGCGAUUCACAUCGACCCCGAGUCAUGCGGUGGCACUCGCGAGGGUGUCACCGAAGCGUUGACUUGCGCGUGCGAUUGGUUGAUAGGUUCAAGCCGAGAUGAAGUUGCGUCAUCGUGAUGUUCCGAGUUCGUUCGCCCUGUGAUAGUACAACUUAGCGUUGAUAUACGCAGGCGUUUUGCAGAGCU